GGGGGGGGGGGGGGGGGGGCGGGGGGGGGGGGGGGGGGGGGGGGGGGGCGGGGCGGGGGGCGCGCGGGUGCGGGGCGCGUGGGGCGCUGCCCCGGGGGUCGGGGGGAGAGGUGGAAGGGGCUGCUGAGCCCGGGUGGUGCCGUACGUCCAAUGGUUUCUCGCCCCGGUGUGCGCCCGCGUCGGAUUGGCUCGUUGGUGGGGUACAUGCCUACCAAGGCGACGCUCCUUAGCUGGUCUGAGAGGAUGAGCAGCCACACUGGGACUGAGACACGGCCCAGACUCCUACGGGAGGCAGCAGUGGGGAAUAUUGGACAAUGGGCUAAAGCCUGAUCCAGCAAUGCCGCGUGAGUGAUGAAGGCCUUAGGGUUGUAAAGCUCUUUUACCCGGGAUGAUAAUGACAGUACCGGGAGAAUAAGCCCCGGCUAACUCCGUG
rnacentral:rRNA from 1 species